AACGAACGCUGGCGGCAGGCUUAACACAUGCAAGUCGAGCGCCCCGCAAGGGGAGCGGCAGACGGGUGAGUAACGCGUGGGAACGUACCCUUUACUACGGAAUAGCUCCGGGAAACUGGAAUUAAUACCGUAUGUGCCCUUCGGGGGAAAGAUUUAUCGGUAAAGGAUCGGCCCGCGUUGGAUUAGCUAGUUGGUGGGGUAAAGGCCUACCAAGGCGACGAUCCAUAGCUGGUCUGAGAGGAUGAUCAGCCACAUUGGGACUGAGACACGGCCCAAACUCCUACGGGAGGCAGCAGUGGGGAAUAUUGGACAAUGGGCGCAAGCCUGAUCCAGCCAUGCCGCGUGAGUGAUGAAGGCCUUAGGGUUGUAAAGCUCUUUCACCGAUGAAGAUAAUGACGGUAGUCGGAGAAGAAGCCCCGGCUAACUUCGUGCCAGCCGCCGCGGUAA
rnacentral:rRNA from 1 species